CAAGAAGAACGGCCUGUUGAUCCCGGAAACGGGGUAGGAAAGUCCGGACACCACAGGGCAGCAAAGCGGAUAACAUCCGCCGGUCGCGAGAUCAGGACAAGUGCAACAGAAAGUAUGUAUAUUCAUUUAUAGUGAAACCAGGUAAACUCUUUGCGGUGCAAUGUUAAGUAUAUCGGAUUUUUUCAGCAAUGAAAAUAGGAAUGGCCCGUUCCAAAAACCGAGGGGUAAGCAGCUAAAGCUUUGCAGCAAUGUAAAGCACAGAUAAAUAACAGGCGCCUGUUUUAUUUUUUUCAGGUACAGAAUCCGGCUUACAGUUUUUCUUGUGGU
rnacentral:RNase_P_RNA from 1 species